AAAACAUGUCUUUUUGAAAAUAAUUUAAAGUUUAAUUUGCCCACUGAUAAUUUAUUAAAGGGCUGCAGUAUUUUGACUGUACAAAGGUAGCAUAAUCAAUAGUCUUUUAAUUGAUGACUUGUAUGAAUGAUUGGAUGAAAUAUAUACUGUUUUUUAUUUAUAUUAAGAAUUUAAUUUUUUGAUUAAAAAGUUAAAAUAAAUUUAAAAGACGAGAAGACCCUAUAGAGUUUUAUAUUUAUAUUUAUUUAAAUUAUUUUUUAGUUAAGUAAUUAGAAUUUAUAUAAUAUAUUUUAUUGGGGUGAUAGAAAAAUAAAAUAAACUUUUUUUUUUAUAAAUUCAUUAAUAUAUGAGUAAUUGAUCCAGAAAUUUUGAUUAUAAGAAAAAAUUACCUUAGGGAUAACAGCGUAAUUUUUUUUUUUAGUUCAAAUAAAAAAAAGAGUUUGCGACCUCGAUGUUGGAUUAAGAUAUAAUUUAUAUGCAAAAGUAUAAGGUUUGG
rnacentral:rRNA from 1 species